AAUCUUCGGCAAUGGACGAAAGUCUGAUGGAGCAACGCCGCGUGAGUGAAGAAGGCUUUAGGAUCGUAAAACUCUGUGUUUGGAGAAGAACAGGGACUAGAGUAACUGUUAGUCCUUUGACGGUAUCCAACCAGAAAGCCACGUCUAACUACGUGCCAGCAGACGCAGUAAUACGUAGGUGGCAACGGAUGUCCGGAUUUAUUGGGCGUAAAGCGAGCGCAGGGGGUUUUUAUAGUCUUAUGUGAAAGCCUUCGGCUUAACCGAAGAAGUGCAUUAGAAACUGGGAACCUUGAGUGCAGAAGAGGACAGUGGAACUCCAUGUGUAGCGGUGAAAUGCGUAGAUAUAUGGAAGAACACCAGUGGCGAAGGAGGCUGUCUGGUCUGUAACUGACGCUGAGGCUCGAAAGUAUGGGGAGCGAACA
rnacentral:rRNA from 1 species